AUCAUCUUCACUGAGCUCAUCCAUCCCUAGAAUCGCAAUGAUAUCCUGAAGAUUCUUAUAAUUCUGAAGAACCUCCUGAACACCACGUGCAGUGUUGUAGUGCUCUUGCCCUAAUACAUGAGGAGAAAGCAUUCUAGAUGUUGAAUCAAGAGGAUCAACAGCAGGAUAGAUACCAAGCUCAGAGAUCUGCCGUGACAGCACAGUCGUAGCAUCAAGAUGGGCAAAGGUUGUGGCGGGAGCAGGAUCUGUCAAGUCA
rnacentral:misc_RNA from 1 species